AGAGUUUGAUCAUGGCUCAGAACGAACGCUGGCGGCAUGCCUAAAACAUGCAAGUCGAACGGGUGUAGCAAUACACCAGUGGCAGACGGGUGCGUAACACGUGGGAACCUACCCAGAGGUUCGGAAUAGCUGCGGGAAACUGCAGGUAAUACCGAAUGUUGCCUGAGGGCUAAAGGAGCAAUCCGCCUUCGGAGGGGCCCGCGUCCGAUUAGCUAGUUGGCGAGGUAACGGCUCACCAAGGCGACGAUCGGUAGCUGGUCUGAGAGGAUGACCAGCCACACUGGAACUGAGAUACGGUCCAGACUCCUACGGGAGGCAGCAGUUGGGAAUAUUGGACAAUGGGGGAAACCCUGAUCCAGCAAUGCCGCGUGGGUGAUGAAGGCCUUCGGGUUGUAAAGCCCUUUUGGCGGGGACGAUGAUGACGGUACCCGCAGAAUAAGCCCCGGCUAACCUCGUGCCAGCAGCCGCGGUAAUACGAAGGGGGCUAGCGUUGUUCGGAAUUACUGGGCGUAAAGGGCGCGUAGGCGGCCGUGCAAGUCAGAUGUGAAAGCCCUGGGCUCAACCCAGGAUGUGCAUUUGAUACUGCAUGGCUAGAGUGUCGGAGAGGAUGGUGGAAUUCCCAGUGUAGAGGUGAAAUUCGUAGAUAUUGGGAAGAACACCGGUGGCGAAGGCGACCAUCUGGACGACAACUGACGCUGAGGCGCGAAAGCGUGGGGAGCAAACAGGAUUAGAUACCCCAGUAGUCC
rnacentral:rRNA from 1 species